AACGAACGCUGGCGGCAUGCCUAACACAUGCAAGUCGAACGAAGGCUUCGGCCUUAGUGGCGCACGGGUGCGUAACGCGUGGGAAUCUGCCCUUUGGUUCGGAAUAACAGCUGGAAACGGCUGCUAAUACCGGAUGAUGACGAAAGUCCAAAGAUUUAUCGCCAGAGGAUGAGCCCGCGUUGGAUGAGGUAGUUGGUGGGGUAAAGGCCUACCAAGCCGACGAUCCAUAGCUGGUCUGAGAGGAUGAUCAGCCACACUGGGACUGAGACACGGCCCAGACUCGUAGGGGAGGCAGCAGUGGGGAAUAUUGGACAAUGGGCGCAAGGCUGAGCCAGCACUGCCGCGUGAGUGAUGAAGGCCCUAGGGUUGUAAAGCUCUUUUACCCGGGAAGAUAAUGACGGUACCGGGAGAAUAAGCCCCGGCUAACUCCGUG
rnacentral:rRNA from 1 species